UACCACCCGACUUAUAUGUUAGCUUCCGGUGACUGGGAACCUGAGAGCCUCAGCUCCUCUCCAGCUCUCGGUUUCCCCCGCCUCUGGUUCUUCCGUUACCGCCGCUUGAGAUAACAGGUUAAAGCAAAAUCAAGAACUAAAUAGAAUUUUCAUCAGCUUUUUUUUUUAUUACAAUAAGGUUAUUUGCAUAUUUGAUGCCGAAUACUAAGAGUCACCGGAGAGGAGUACAGGAAUCGAGCCGGAGAGCAAGGUUAUCGGAGAAAUCGUCGUCGUUUCACGGGGGAAUCCCGGCCACUAUGCAGACGGAUCAGAAGGAGCUCAGAAGGCCGAAGACUUUACCGGAUUUGCUUCAAGAUCGUAGCUUUGUCUGUCUGUCACCGGAAUCGAGGCCGAAGAAGCUGACGAAGCUGUUGUUGAACGUCACGGUUCAAGGAAGCGUCGGUGCAUUACACGUGAUAAUGUCGCCGGAAAAUACCGUCGCCGAUCUUGCUGCCGCCGCCGUCAAGCAGUACAUCAAAGAAUGCCGCCGGCCGAUCUUGCCGACCACCGAUCCCUCCGGCUUCGAC
rnacentral:lncRNA from 1 species